CCCUUAGAUGUUCUGGGCCGCACGCGAGCUACACUGAGUGGAUCAGCGGGUCAGGUUGCGCGAAAGUGUUUCCUAAUCUUGAAAUCCGCUCGUGAUGGGGAUUGACGGUUGCAAUUUUCCGUCAUGAACGAGGAAUACCUUGUAAGCGCGGGUCAUCAUCCCGCGCUGAAUACGUCCCUGCCCUUUGUACACACCGCCCGUCGCUCCUACCGAUUGAGUGGUCCGGUGAGGCUUUGGGAUCUGAGCGGAAAGAGCGUUUCGCUGUUUCUGCUCGGAAAACUCAGUCGAACCUUAUCAUUUAGAGGAAGGAGAAGUCGUAACA
rnacentral:rRNA from 1 species